AACGAACGCUGGCGGCAUGCCUAACACAUGCAAGUCGAACGCGUGUAGCAAUACACGAGUGGCGGACGGGUGAGUAACGCGUGGGAACCUGCCCAGUGGUAGGGAAUAACUGCGGGAAACUGCAGCUAAUACCCUAUACGCCCUUUGGGGGAAGAUUCAUUGCCAUUGGAGGGGCCCGCGUCGGAUUAGCUAGUUGGCGGGGUAAUGGCCCACCAAGGCAACGAUCCGUAGCUGGCUGAGAGGAUGAUCAGCCACACUGGGACUGAGAUACGGCCCAGACUCCUACGGGAGGCAGCAGUGGGGAAUCUUGCGCAAUGGGCGAAAGCCUGACGCAGCGACGCCGCGUGAGGGAUGACGGCCUUCGGUUG
rnacentral:rRNA from 1 species